GUAUGCUUAGGCCUAUAUGAAUUUGCAUAUUGAAGAGCAGAACUGUUUUGUAAUCCAAUUUCCAAACCUUUAUACUUUCAGCAAGUCAUCAGCAUAGAAGUCAGUGCUCAACUGUGGUUAAACCCCAAGCUUUCUACGGGGUCCUUCUUCAUUCAUGGGGUUUCCUGCUACAGUACUAUCGCUGCUGAAUAUCAGCGACAUACCUUGCAGGCGGCAUUUAAAAUAUGUACCUGCAUACCAGAGAGACGGCUCGCGCUUUCAUGCGCGAAUAGUCGGUGAAUGGAACCUGCAUAACAGUGUCACGUGACGUUGUUGAAAUUGGCGGAAUGUUUUGUCAAAUUCUGUUAUUGAACUCACUGAUUUGAGGAGUUUGUUUGGCAAACGUGUACACAAGUAGGAGAAAUUUUGGCAAGUUUAAUAUUUCCCCUAACAAAAUUGAAAGCGUCGGCGCUUCAAACCUCUGUAGGCCAAAGCAGUUUUUUGAGACACGUCCCGAACGGGAAAAUGGGUUACUUUUAGAACGAAGGGUGAACAUCGUAACAUUUAAGAAGGAACAUUUUGGCCCUUGGAACAUGUUCUUGUGAAUUGAAUCUUCUAGUUGAAACCUUGGAAGAACUAUUUAAAAACAAUGGUGUCCAUUAACCCGACGGCUUGGUGUUCGGGUUUUUUGUUUGUUUGUUGGGGUGUUUGUUUGUUUGUUUGCUUUUUAUUUAUGUAUUUUUGGUCUUUUUGACAAUUUUUCUUUUACAUUUAUUGCUCUUCUUUGUGUGUAUGGAAUUCACUGCCAGGCCGACUUCCCGCUCGGUGGAAUUUUUUGUGUCCAGUGAGCCUUAUGUCAACAAACCGUACACUCAUUGUUUGUUGCGUUGGCUGGCUGGGGAUCGCAGGUGAUCUGGGUUUUGCGCAGUUGAUCAACUCGGCAAGCCUCUAUACUAGUCCAGUGUUUUUUUUUUUUCAAAGCCAAUGGGGAGUUAUUUGGAGACUGCAUGGAGCGCGUGGAGUACUGGAUAUAAUCGGAUGAUCAAAGUACACCAAGGCAGAUCUGAAGUUAUGGGGAAGCUGCGGUCUGACGUGGAAUGUGAUAAACAUCCUCUUGGAGAAAGAAAUGCGCUGACGAAACGGCGGAUCGAAAGGCAUGCUAUACAGGGCAAGAGGACGGGAGUUCCGAGGAGAGGUUACAUGAACUGUGCAAUGAGGCGGGUACCAGGUCUGAAGUUACGGGGAAAUUGCGGUCUGCCGAGCUAGGAGUGGUUAUCUGGGGAACUACCCGACUCACAGAAUAACAUUACUCGCUACAUGCAAUGUGCCGCCAUUUGAAAGGUCAACGAAAAGGUGAGAUCGAGUUUAUGGUCAACUUGUUUAUGAUGAAUAAUUAUUCAGCCAAAACAGCCUUUUCUUUGAAGGAGACUUUUCCGUAAGUUUUCUGUAGGUUAAGUUGAAAUCAAUAUCUAAAGCGUUUACUCACGCUGCUAUUUUUGUGUAUCGAUCGCUCUAUGGUCACAGUAUGAUUGUUGUCCUUAUGAUAUUGUGAUACUGUUUUGUACAUCGGUGAUCAGCUGGGUGAGUGUCCAAGACCAGUGUUUUAUUCAACAACCUGUUAAAGACAGAAAUACGUUGACGAAACGGCUGGCAGACCAAAGUGCACAAGGCGUAGGCCUGAGGACCGCGGUUCUGAGGUGACAGGGUGAUCCAACCAACCACGCCUAAUUUUUGCAGUCUGCCGUGGAAUGUUGGUAUGGCCUGGGGCGGGGAACUCCCCUCACUGCAGGACUACGCUACGUGCUGUCAAGUGAAAUCUGAAGUUGAGGCGCAUCCUGGGUCCUGUGCAACCCAUUUGAUGGGCGUUCCAGGACGGCGACGCUCGACGGCGGGAUGGGAGCAUCAAGUCUCGUAUUUGUGAAGGUCAUCAUGCCCUCGCUGUUUCGUCUCGAGCCCGGUCACUCUUAUUCGACGUGGUCUUCGUCCCCAUUGCAGCUCAUUUUUAUACCAUCAAGGACUGAACUGUUUUCGCCAUCUAUAGAGUCCAGCACUGCCUGCCAAGCUCUCGCCCGCAUUAAAAGAACAUCUUGUUUAUAAAAGAUCUCUUCUUGAUUCUUUAUCCUUAUCAUUGUAAACUAGUUCCAAUCAGCAUUUUUUGUCCGUAUUUUUUACAUGCUAAGUGUAACAUUCUCAUUAAAUUCUAAUGUCUUGUUUAUUUCUUCCUUAUAUCAAACAUAUCUUGUUUGAUUCCUUUGCUGCAUCGGAUAAAACUCAAGCUUCAGAAUUACUAUAAGUGUGGAGUUUUUCGGAUCGUAACAAUGGUAGGAAGUUGUGUAAUUUAUGUGGGACUUUAAUUAAAACACUCAAAGCUUGCCAUAGUUCUGCCAACCGUUGAGAAGUAGAGGUGGACAGUCGUACAUAUAUAGUAUGCAAAGAAUGUCGUUCAUGAGUGGAGUGGUGAAAAACACAUUGAAGCCGACUGGAAUGGAACAUUUCCGCCUGUCACCAAAUGAAAUUAUUCAUUCCAUUGACUGUGAAAUAGACUGGAUUGAAGUGCUGCUUGACCGCACAAUCCAUGCGUUCACUCGUCAUAAACCAUCCAUAGAGCACAGGGCGCUGGCAAGGGCAAAUGAAUGACGUAUUUUUUGUCGCUAACUAAUAGGCCUAUUGGAUGGAGUUUAUUUUAACAUUUGAACACGGGUCGACACUUCCGGCCUGGUGCGCAUGACACGUGUGCACUUAUGCUAUAUUUGGAGACGGAGGGCAUUAAGUAACCUCAAAUGCUUUGAGUGUCCCAAACUGUGAGGUAUUUUAUGCUUUGCAAUUGUAAAAGUGCUAUUUUUGAUCUUCAUUAUAAAGGUGGUGUAGGCCUACACCAUUGGUGAAAUUCCGAGAAUCGGACUACCGAAUAAUCCUGAAAUAUCUUUUUUUGACAGAAAGUACACAACAGUCUCAAUCAGUCUGUAAAAUAUUUCCACCCAGAAUGCUGUAGUUUUCGAGAAAAAAACAAUUCGUUCUCUUUUUUCGCACAUCACAUCCUUUAACAGGCGCCAAUUUUCUGUAUUUAUUGUUUGCAGAUGUCAUGUUAUGGGAGUCUCCAUUUUAAUGAACGGAUAACUUAAAGCAGCUAAAAUAUAUACCGACAUUCUUUCAGGAAAAGCACUGUGAACGGAAAUUAUAGAAAUCUGAGUGUUAGGCGUAAAGUAGAAAAUAAAUUGGAUCAGUGGGAAGUUGAAUUUUAUUUAAGGAAAGGUUUUUCUAAGCCGAAAAACUUUGCAAAUUCAAAAUCACCCUUAGAUAAUAAAGGUAUGAUCCAACAUGGCGGCUUUUCUUGAGCAUGAA